AGUGAACGCUGGCGGUAGGCCUAACACAUGCAAGUCGAACGGCAGCACAGUAAGAGCUUGCUCUUACGGGUGGCGAGUGGCGGACGGGUGAGGAAUACAUCGGAAUCUACUUUUUCGUGGGGGAUAACGUAGGGAAACUUACGCUACUACCGCAUACGACCUACGGGUGAAAGCAGGGGAUCUUCGGACCUUGCGCGAUUGUAUUAGCCGAUGUCGGAUUAGCUAGUUGGCGGGGUAAAGGCACACCAAGGCGACGAUCCGUAGCUGGUCUGAGAGGAUGAUCAGCCACACUGGAACUGAGACACGGUCCAGACUCCUACGGGAGGCAGCAGUGGGGAAUAUUGCACAAUGGGCGCAAGCCUGAUCCAGCCAUACCGCGUGGGUGAAGAAGGCCUUCGGGUUGUAAAGCCCUUUUGUUGGGAAAGAAAAGCAGCAGGUUAAUACCCCGCUGUUCUGACGGUACCCAAAGAAUAAGCACCGGCUAACUUCGUG
rnacentral:rRNA from 1 species